rnacentral:rRNA from 1 species
UACGUAGGGGGCAAGCGUUGUCCGGAUUUAUUGGGCGUAAAGAGCGUGUAGGCGGCCUUACAGGUCAGCUGUGAAAACUCGAGGCUCAACCUCGAGACGUCGGUUGAAACCGUAAGGCGUAGAGUCCGGAAGAGGAGAGUGGAAUUCCCGGUGUAGCGGUGAAAUGCGCAGAUAUCGGGAAGAACGACCCGUGGCGAAGGCGGCACUCUGGGACGGUACUGACGCUGAGA